GUAUAUCAUUCUGCAGAACUGUUGCUUGAAAAGUGGUGUGAAAUGGUACACCGGAGCAGGGGUCGAAAGAAAAACACGAACGAGGCGAGGCGACUCACAUUCGGGGUUUGGCCUGCCGCGCAAGAGCUGCAAAAUUUUAGUUAAUUUUUCUCCUAGCAGCUCAAACCCGUGGUUGGAAGGGACGAGGCGCACGAUUUCUCGUUUGCAGCGAAAUAUCGAAAAGUUUUCCGCAAAGUACGCGGAUCCGCGGGUGCGUGCGUGUGUCCCGUUUUAAUCGUGUUGUAGCUUUGCUCUUCCAUAUUUGCCCGUGUGCGUGAAGCUGUGUGUGCGUUCGUCAAUUUUGCGGUGAAAUCAUACGCGCUCUGGUGGUGUAAAGUAGUUAAUUGAAGGGAAACAAAACCGCGAACGGGCCCGGAUUAAGCUACCCCCCCAAUCUUCCGCCCAGCCAGUGUCCUUGUGUGUGUGUGUGUGUUUGUGUGCGCCGUCGUCUGUCCGUAAUCAAUCAAGGGUCCAUAUUUUCCGGAGCCUCUUAUAUUACACCGACGACGCACCUUGCCCUUUGCCUGUAGCCGGAGACAACACAGUGUGAAACGAAGUGAAAAGUUGGUGAAACUUUUUCGUGGGGGAGCUAUUUUGAACCAAAGUCCAAGAAAGAGAACAUUCCCAUCGAUAACGGGCUACCCGCAAGUGGACCAGUGGAGCAGAAGUAAACCGGAAGGAAGGCCGUAGAAGAAGAAAAAAAAAACAUCCCGGACGACCACUUCCGAAAGUUGUUUGCGCCAGGCCCUCAAACAAGACACCUUAUCACAAUGGAUAAAAGGAAACUAUCUACAUCCGGGGACACCCUCUACCAGACACUGGGCCUACAGAAGACGGCAACGGCGGACGAGAUUAAGAAGACGUACCGAAAACUGGCCCUCAAGUAUCACCCGGACAAGAACCCCAACAAUCCCGAUGCGGCAGAUAAGUUCAAAGAAGUAAAUCGUGCUCAUUCCAUUCUGAGUGAUUUGACGAAGCGAAACAUCUACGACAACUAUGGUUCGCUCGGACUGUACAUCGCGGAACAGUUUGGCGAAGAGAACGUCAAUGCUUACUUCGUCGUCACGUCGCCCACGUGCAAGGCACUGUUUAUGAUUUGCGGUAUCAUCACCGGAUGUUAUUGUUGCUGCUGCUGUUGCUGCUGCUGUAACUUCUGCUUUGGCAAAUACAAACCGGUACCGCCGGAGAAUGCGGGAGACUAUCAUCAUCUACACAGAGAUGGUGCCGCAAGUAGUAGCAACGCGCGGGAAGGAACGGCCGUCACAGAACAGCCAACGCGAAGAGAGGAUUUGCAAGAUCUGGACGAUAAUGGAGGAGGCAGUGGUGGCCCGGUGACGUCACAGCCACAGGCGGGACAGGCACAGGGAGCUGGUAUGCCCGUGUACGCCAUGCCACCGCCGUCGUCCAAUCCGACGAAUCCGUUCACCGGAGCCGCCACCGAGAGCACGGGGCUGAACACGGGCAAUCAACCGAUCUACACGCCAGGAGAUUUGCUCCAAUUUUGAAGUUGUCCCAGUAUCCGUUUAUAGUUCAAAUCACCUGCGCAAACAUGAACAACGCACCAAGUGCAACGGAUACAAUUCUUCCACAUUGAUGUUGCCUUUGUUUUUGUUUGUGUUGUUGCUGUAUCUUUAGCUUUGAAGAAACUGUAGGAAACGUUCCAUUCUACUGGGAUGGAAAAAUAAAGCCGAAAAAUCCGAUCCGAUUCCCCUUUUCGUGGUAAUGUAUGAAGUGAGCGUAUUAAUCGUCGCCAUCAAUAACACGAUACGGUUCGAAGGGAGGGAACCCGGUUACAUGGACGUAAGGGAUAAGGCGCGAUAAGGCACAAGUUGAGUCAUGCCCAGCGGCGCCGCGCCCCUCCAUUUAUCCCGCAUCCCUCGUAUUUGUGCAGCGAAUAGCACGCGAACCCGAAAUCAAACACCCCCUAUAACAAUAUGCUGUCACAAUAAUAAGCAACUGUAAUAAUAAUCGUCGCUAGAACCAGGACCGCGAGCAUCUUCUCCCUGCCUGCCUGCAAACAAAACACGGUGGUGGUGGAAGGCACACCCGUACAUACGCAAAGGGCAGCAGAGGAGCGAAGAAACAAAAGUAUCUUUUUAGGGUAUAUUUAUACGUUUAAGUAAUGGCAAAUAACAGCAGUUAGUAGAGCCCCCUUUUCUGUGUGCAUAUAUAUGUGUGCGUGUGUGUGUGUACGUGUAUUUAUUCUAGUGAGGCUACUUCCCACUGGAUGCCUCAGAGAAAGAGGAGACAAGAGAGAGUGGCGCAAAGCAGCAGUAGAAAAGGAAGAACAAAAUCAAAACAAUUUAAGAAGCUAACAAUAAUACUUUCAUCUUGCUGUGUGUUGCCGCUAGUAUCCGUAUGCUACAUACUACUAAAUCACAUCCUUUUCGGUGACACGCGCUCAAGUCGUCAAACAGGCAAAAACGGAGAUGCUGAAACAUAACACACAUACACACUACCAGAGAGCCACAAUCACACACAGCAUUAACGUUAUCGCACUCAUUUGGAAGACUUCAUAAAUUAGCGAAUGUAUUUUCUGGUUCAAAAUGGCGAUUUCGAUUAUUCACUACCACCAUCCCCUCUCGAGCGUAAAUGGGGGAUGCAACAAAACACAUUAAAAUUGAACGAUUUAGUGGUGUGUAGAUAUAUAUAUGUAUGUAUGCGCCAGCUAUACCAUUUAGAGGUGAUCUUAUGGGAACGUGUUUCCUCCUCAUUUAUUAAGUGUUACUAAUUCGAUUUUUGCAAAUACUACUUCAAUUUCGAGUGUGAAACCCGUUAUGCAUAUUACGAUACUAAGAAAAACGGAGGAGAAAGUGCAUACACACACAGGGGGACGGUGCACCACGCGGAGACAGUGACGGAACAGUUCAUUAUUAUAAUCCGGUGUCACAUCCCGUAGUACCGGAGCUUUCGGACGGACAAAAACCAUUAAAAGUGUAGCAAUUAAUUGCGCAAGUUAUGUUGUGUGUGUAUCUAGGGGUACAACGUGCAUGCCCUCCUCCUGCAUAUGCCACACCACUGUGCAGAUAGUUAUUGUACUGUACGAACGACCGUAGGACGAGAUGAUGUAUGAUGAUGAUGAAGA